rnacentral:rRNA from 1 species
AUUGAACGCUGGCGGCAUGCCUUACACAUGCAAGUCGAACGGUAACAGGUCUUCGGAUGCUGACGAGUGGCGAACGGGUGAGUAAUACAUCGGAACGUGCCCGAUCGUGGGGGAUAACUACUCGAAAGAGUAGCUAAUACCGCAUACGAUCUACGGAUGAAAGCGGGGGAUCUUCGGACCUCGUGCGGACGGAGCGGCCGAUGGCAGAUUAGGUAGUUGGUGGGAUAAAAGCUUACCAAGCCGACGAUCUGUAGCUGGUCUGAGAGGACGACCAGCCACACUGGGACUGAGUCACGGCCCAGACUCCUACGGGAGGCAGCAGUGGGGAAUUUUGGACAAUGGGCGAAAGCCUGAUCCAGCAAUGCCGCGUGCAGGAUGAAGGCCUUCGGGUUGUAAACUGCUUUUGUACGGAACGAAAAGACCCCUUCUAAUACAGGGGGUCCAUGACGGUACCGUAAGAUUAAGCACCGGCUAACUACGUGCCAGCCGCCGCGGUAACAC